GUUUGUGUUUCAGGUGUUUCUGCUGCCGAACGAGAUGAAAUGAAGGGAACGUCAGUGAAGAAGGGAGAAUCUGAUUCAGGUCUGUCUUCAGCUGCUGUAGCAGGAAUAUGUGCUGCUGUUCUGCUGAUAGUGGCUGCAGCUGCUGCUGGUGUGAUUUAUUAUCUCCAGCAUCGUCAAACAGGGCACUAUAGAACAGGAACCAGGACUCAGCACAGUAAUCAG